rnacentral:rRNA from 1 species
UUCGACUAAUCAUAAAGAUAUCGGCACCCUCUACCUAGUAUUUGGUGCCUGAGCCGGAAUAGUGGGAACGGCCCUUAGCCUUCUCAUUCGGGCUGAACUCAGCCAACCAGGCGCACUCCUGGGCGACGAUCAAAUUUAUAACGUAAUCGUCACAGCCCACGCAUUCGUAAUAAUUUUCUUUAUAGUAAUACCAAUCAUGAUUGGUGGCUUCGGGAACUGACUGGUACCACUCAUGAUCGGAGCCCCUGACAUGGCAUUCCCUCGAAUGAAUAACAUAAGCUUUUGACUGCUUCCCCCUUCCUUCCUCCUUCUCCUGGCAUCCUCUGGUGUAGAAGCGGGAGCUGGUACAGGCUGAACCGUCUACCCACCACUAGCGGGUAAUUUAGCCCACGCAGGAGCAUCUGUCGACCUUACCAUUUUCUCCCUCCACUUAGCGGGUGUCUCAUCAAUUCUUGGCGCCAUUAACUUCAUCACCACAAUCAUCAACAUAAAACCCCCAGCCAUCUCUCAAUACCAAACACCCCUGUUCGUAUGAGCCGUUUUAAUCACCGCCGUCCUUCUCUUGUUAUCCCUGCCAGUCCUCGCAGCCGGUAUCACGAUGCUCCUUACAGACCGAAACCUAAACACCACCUUCUUCGAUCCUGCAGGCGGAGGGGACCCAAUCCUCUACCAACACUUAUUCUGAUUCUUCGGUCACCCCUGAAGUA